rnacentral:rRNA from 1 species
CAAGCCACGAAAGUGGGGGGCAUCCGAAGUCGCCGUGGUAACCAUUUGGAACCAAGUGCCGAAGAUGAACUCCGUGAUUGGGACUAAGUCGUAACAAGGUAGCCGUAGGGGAACCUGCGGCUGGAUCACCUCCUUU